rnacentral:rRNA from 1 species
GACGAACGCUGGCGGCGUGCUUAACACAUGCAAGUCGAGCGGUAAGGCCCUUUCGGGGGUACGACGAGCGGCGAACGGGUGAGUAACACGUGGGUGACCUGCCCUCAGCUCUGGGAUAAGCCUGGGAAACCGGGUCUAAUACUGGAUAUGACUCCAUGACGCAUGUUGUGGGGUGGAAAGCCUUGUGCGGCUGAGGAUGGGCCCGCGGCCUAUCAGCUUGUUGGGUGGGGUGAGGCCUACCAAGGCGACGACGGGUAGCCGGCCUGAGAGGGCGACCGGCCACACUGGGACUGAGACACGGCCCAGACUCCUACGGGAGGCAGCAGUGGGGAAUCUUGCGCAAUGGGCGAAAGCCUGACGCAGCGACGCCGCGUGAGGGAUGACGGCCU